rnacentral:rRNA from 1 species
UACGUAGGGUGCAAGCGUUGUCCGGAUUUAUUGGGCGUAAAGAGCUCGUAGGCGGUUUGUCGCGUCUGCCGUGAAAGUCCGGGGCUCAACUCCGGAUCUGCGGUGGGUACGGGGCAGACUAGAGUGAUGUAGGGGGAGACUGGAAUUCCUGGUGUAGCGGUGAAAUGCGCAGAUAUCAGGAGGAACACCGAUGGCGAAGGCAGGUCUCUGGGCAUUAACUGACGCUGAGGAGCGAAAAGCAUGGGGGAGCGAACAGG